rnacentral:rRNA from 1 species
GACGAACGCUGGCGGCGUGCUUAACACAUGCAAGUCGAACGGUAAGGCUCCAGCUUGCUGGGGUACACGAGUGGCGAACGGGUGAGUAACACGUGGGUGACCUGCCCUGCACUUCGGGAUAAGCCUGGGAAACUGGGUCUAAUACCGGAUAGGACUGCACCGUGAGGGUGUGGUGGAAAGUUUUUUCGGUGUGGAAUGGGCCCGCGGCCUAUCAGCUUGUUGGUGGGGUAAUGGCCUGCCAAGGCGGCGACGGGUAGCCGGCCUGAGAGGGUGGACGGCCACAUUGGGACUGAGACACGGCCCAGACUCCUACGGGAGGCAGCAGUGGGGAAUAUUGCACAAUGGGCGGAAGCCUGAUGCAGCGACGCCGCGUGGGGGAUGACGGCCUUCGGGUUGUAACCUCCUUUCACCAUCGACGAAGGGUUUCUGACGGUAGAUGGAGAAGAAGCACCGGCUAACUACGUGCCAGCAGCCGCGGUAAUACGUAGGGUGCGAGCGUUGUCCGGAAUUACUGGGCGUAAAGAGCUCGUAGGUGGUUUGUCGCGUCGUCUGUGAAAUUCCGGGGCUUAACUCCGGGCGUGCAGGCGAUACGGGCAUAACUUGAGUACUGUAGGGGAGACUGGAAUUCCUGGUGUAGCGGUGAAAUGCGCAGAUAUCAGGAGGAACACCGGUGGCGAAGGCGGGUCUCUGGGCAGUAACUGACGCUGAGGAGCGAAAGCAUGGGGAGCGAACAGGAUUAGAUACCCUGGUAGUCCAUGCCGUAAACGGUGGGCGCUAGGUGUGGGUUUCCUUCCACGGGAUCCGUGCCGUAGCUAACGCAUUAAGCGCCCCGCCUGGGGAGUACGGCCGCAAGGCUAAAACUCAAAGGAAUUGACGGGGGCCCGCACAAGCGGCGGAGCAUGUGGAUUAAUUCGAUGCAACGCGAAGAACCUUACCUGGGCUUGACAUAUACAGGAUCGCGCCAGAGAUGGUGUUUCCCUUGUGGCUUGUAUACAGGUGGUGCAUGGUUGUCGUCAGCUCGUGUCGUGAGAUGUUGGGUUAAGUCCCGCAACGAGCGCAACCCUUGUCUUAUGUUGCCAGCACGUUGUGGUGGGGACUCGUAAGAAACUGCCGGGGUUAACUCGGAGGAAGGUGGGGAUGACGUCAAAUCAUCAUGCCCCUUAUGUCCAGGGCUUCACACAUGCUACAAUGGUCGGUACAGUGGGUUGCCAGUCCGUGAGGGCGAGCUAAUCCCGCAAAGCCGGUCUCAGUUCGGAUCGGGGUCUGCAACUCGACCCCGUGAAGUCGGAGUCGCUAGUAAUCGCAGAUCAGCAACGCUGCGGUGAAUACGUUCCCGGGCCU